GAUGAACGCUGGCGGCGUGCCUAAUACAUGCAAGUCGAGCGAACAGACGAGGAGCUUGCUCCUCUGACGUUAGCGGCGGACGGGUGAGUAACACGUGGAUAACCUACCUAUAAGACUGGGAUAACUUCGGGAAACCGGAGCUAAUACCGGAUAAUAUAUUGAACCGCAUGGUUCAAUAGUGAAAGACGGUUUUGCUGUCACUUAUAGAUGGAUCCGCGCCGCAUUAGCUAGUUGGUAAGGUCACGGCUUACCAAGGCAACGAUGCGUAGCCGACCUGAGAGGGUGAUAGGCCACACUGGAACUGAGACACGGUCCAGACUCCUACGGGAGGCAGCAGUAGGGAAUCUUCCGCAAUGGGCGAAAGCCUGACGGAGCAACGCCGCGUGAGUGAUGAAGGUCUUCGGAUCGUAAAACUCUGUUAUUAGGGAAGAACAAAUGUGUAAGUAACUAUGCACGUCUUGACGGUACCUAAUCAGAAAGCCACGGCUAACUACGUG
rnacentral:rRNA from 1 species